CAGCAUUGACAACAACUCCAUUUUUUACUAAAGCUUCAGAGAUAGAGCAUCCCUUGGACAUCCUUACCUCCAUCCGGAGUAAUGAAGUUCCUGUUAAGCACCUCGAUGCCAUUAUAAAAAACAUGGGGAUUCAUUUAACACCCAAAGAGCUUGACAACAUCCUGCAGAUUGUACCUUUGAAGGAGGGUGAGAAGGUAGAUUUACAAAAAUUCAUGGAAAUUGUGUCUAAAAUGAAGUCCUCAGUCCA
rnacentral:lncRNA from 1 species